AGAGUUUGAUCAUGGCUCAGAACUAACGCUGGCGGCGCGCCUAACACAUGCAAGUCGAGCGAGAACACCGGGCUUCGGCCUGGGUAGUAAAGCGGCGCACGGGUGAGUAACGCGUGAGUAACCUAUCCCCAAGCUUGGGAUAACAUCGCGAAAGCGGUGCUAAUACCGGAUGAGACCACGAGCUCCCUGGAGCACGAGGUCAAAGAUAGCCUCUUCAUGAAAGCUGUCGCUUGGGGGCGGGCUCGCGUCCCAUUAGCUAGUUGGUAGGGUAACGGCCUACCAAGGCUCCGAUGGGUAGCUGGUCUGAGAGGACGACCAGCCACACUGGAACUGGAACACGGUCCAGACUCCUACGGGAGGCAGCAGUGAGGAAUCUUGCGCAAUGGGGGAAACCCUGACGCAGCGACGCCGCGUGGGUGAUGAAGGCCUUCGGGUCGUAAAGCCCUGUCAAGAGGGAAGAAUGGCUUUCGGGUUAAUAGCCCGUUUGCUUGACGGUACCUCUGGAGGAAGCACCGGCCAACUCCGUGCCAGCAGCCGCGGUAACACGGAGGGUGCAAGCGUUGUUCGGAAUUACUGGGCGUAAAGGGCGCGUAGGCGGUUGGGUAAGUCAGAUGUGAAAGCCCUGGGCUCAACCCAGGAAGCGCAUUUGAUACUGUCCAUCUUGAGUACGGGAGAGGGAGGCGGAAUUCCCAGUGUAGAGGUGAAAUUCGUAGAUAUUGGGAGGAACACCGGUGGCGAAGGCGGCCUCCUGGACCGAUACUGACGCUGAGGCGCGAAAGCGUGGGGAGCAAACAGGAUUAGAUACCCUAGUAGUCC
rnacentral:rRNA from 1 species